rnacentral:rRNA from 1 species
UACGGAGGGUGCAAACGUUGCUCGGAAUCAUUGGGCGUAAAGCGCACGUAGGCGGACUGUUAAGCCGGAUGUGAAAGCCCUCGGCUUAACCGAGGAAGUGCAUUCGAAACUGGCAGUCUUGAGUACAGAAGAGGGUCGCGGAAUUCCCGGUGUAGAGGUGAAAUUCGUAGAUAUCGGGAGGAACACCGGUGGCGAAGGCGGUUCUCUGGGCAUUACCUGACGCUGAGGAGCGAAAGUGUGGGGAGCGAACAGG